GACGAACGCUGGCGGCGUGCUUAACACAUGCAAGUCGAACGGAAAGGCCCUGCUUUUGUGGGGUGCUCGAGUGGCGAACGGGUGAGUAACACGUGAGUAACCUGCCCUUGACUUUGGGAUAACUUCAGGAAACUGGGGCUAAUACCGGAUAGGAGCUCCUGCUGCAUGGUGGGGGUUGGAAAGUUUCGGCGGUUGGGGAUGGACUCGCGGCUUAUCAGCUUGUUGGUGGGGUAGUGGCUUAACAAGGCUUUGACGGGUAGCCGGCCUGAGAGGGUGACCGGACACAUUGGGACUGAGAUACGGCCCAGACUCCUACGGGAGGCAACAGUGGGGAAUAUUGCACAAUGGGCUGAAGCCUGAUGCAGCAACGCCGCGUGCGGGAUAACGGCCUUCGGGUUGUAAACCGCUUUCGCCUGUGACGAAGCGUGAGUGACGGUAAUGGGUAAAGAAGCACCGGCUAACUACGUG
rnacentral:rRNA from 1 species